CCUACGGGUAGCUGCAGUGGGGGAUAUUGCACAAUGGGGGAAACCCUGAUGCAGCGACGCCGCGUGUGGGAAGACGGUCUUCUGGAUUGUAAACCACUGUCCCCAGGGACGCAAAUGACGGUACCUGGGGAGGAAGCUCCGGCUAACUACGUGCCAGCAGCCGCGGUAAUACGUAGGGAGCAAGCGUUGUCCGGAAUUACUGGGUGUAAAGGGAGCGUAGGCGGGGAUGCAAGUUGGGUGUCAAAACUACCGGCUCAACCGAUAGUCGCACUCAAAACUGCAACUCUUGAGUGAAGUAGAGGCAGGCGGAAUUCCUAGUGUAGCGGUGAAAUGCGUAGAUAUUAGGAGGAACACCAGUGGCGAAGGCGGCCUGCUGGGCUUUUACUGACGCUGAGGCUCGAAAGUGUGGGGAGCAAACAGGAUUAGAUACCCGAGUAGUC
rnacentral:rRNA from 1 species